UCCUUGGUGUUCUAGUGAUUAAGACUCUGCACUCCUAAUGCAGAGGACCUGGGUUCGAUCCCUGGUCAGGGAA